CAGCAGCCGCGGUAAUACGAAGGGGGCUAGCGUUGUUCGGAAUUACUGGGCGUAAAGCGCACGUAGGCGGAUAUUUAAGUCAGGGGUGAAAUCCCGCAGCUCAACUGCGGAACUGCCUUUGAUACUGGGUAUCUUGAGUAUGGAAGAGGUUAGUGGAAUUGCGAGUGUAGAGGUGAAAUUCGUAGAUAUUCGCAGGAACACCAGUGGCGAAGGCGGCUAACUGGUCCACAACUGACGCUGAGGUGCGAAAGCGUGGGGAGCAAACAGGAUUAGAUACCCCGGUAGUCCCUGUCUCUUAUAC
rnacentral:rRNA from 1 species